GGUAUGGGAUGAGCUUGCGUCCGAUUAGCUAGUUGGCGGGGCAACGGCCCACCAAGGCGACGAUCGGUAGCCGGCCUGAGAGGGUGAUCGGCCACAUUGGGACUGAGAUACGGCCCAGACUCCUACGGGAGGCAGCAGUAGGGAAUAUUGCACAAUGGGGGGAACCCUGAUGCAGCAACGCCACGUGUGGGAAGAAGCAUUUCGGUGUGUAAACCACUGUCAUGAGGGAAUAAGGCCUAUUUUCGGAUAGGAUUGAAUGUACCUUGAGAGGAAGCACCGGCAAACUUCGUGCCAGCAGCCGCGGUAAUACGAGGGGUGCAAGCGUUGUUCGGAAUUACUGGGCGUAAAGGGAGCGUAGGCGGAGGUUCAAGCGGAUUGUACAAUCCCGGGGCCCAACCCCGGCUCUGCAGUCCGAACUGGAUCUCUUGGAUAGUUCAGGGGCAGGC
rnacentral:rRNA from 1 species